AGGUUCGGAGGGCCUUGAAAACCCUUCACUCCCUCCAUCACCGGACUCCCUCCCUCGGCCCGGCUCCCCUCCCCAGAACAGAGCUCCAUCAGACACCUCUGCACUCUGCGUUCAAAAUGCCCCCAACCGGAGCCUUCCCAGGAGGGCCUGGAGUGUCAGCGAAGCCCCACAGGUCCUGGUGGCCACGUCGGCAGGGCACAGCAUCACCUCUGCUGAGGCGGGGCCCCUGAGACUGCGUCCAGCAGAGAAACCAUAGGAACACCCACCUUUUCAUACCAGACCAUCAUCCUGUCCAAGACCCCUCCGCUGCUCCUGAUCCUUGCCCCCACCCUGCGGGUGUACCUUCUGCUGCUCCGGGGAGGAUCUGUUCUGAUAUUCAGCUGGAGUGGAUCGGAACCACCAUGCUGGUGAUGUAUAUGUAGAUGCCCAGCGAGCCGAAAGGCUGAUUCACUGGCCCUGCUGUCAUUGAAUAUUCUCCCUUGGGGGAGCGGCAGGGCGAGGGGGGAGUCCCUUCCCCCCACCACUUGUCUACCACCCCCUACGAUUGCUUAUGCAUUUGGAGCUUCACUGUCAUUCAGACACCCAAAAAGCCUCCCAGGCCAGCAAAUUUCUUCUGACUGAACUACAGCGUCUACUUCCGCCUCUAGUCCCCUCUUCCUUCCUGGUAUUAAUAGAUGGUGAACAGAGCCAAAUGGAAAUGUCACGCAGCCUUGUCUUCCCAAAUCCUCUCCUAGCUCCCCUGUUUCUCUGCAAUCUAAUCCCUCCCUCCCGUGUCGGCUCCUGAUUUCUACAUAAAGCCUCAGCUGCUGCUCCGGGUCCCAGGAUGCUCUCUCUGAAAUGACCAGCGCAAACCAGCAUGGACCUACACACCGCUUGGGAGGACGCUGCCUCGGGGAAACAGAGCUGGACCCAGGGAGCAUAACUGCUCUGCUUACAGGCUGUGUUAUCAUCGCUGGAAAAACCCGCAGACAGGAACCUUGUUACCGCCGGAGGAACGUUCUGAUUAUUGUGACACAGCCGUAGAUGGGAGGCACUAUUUUUGUCCUAUUUUGCAGAUCAGGAAACUAAGAUUUAGACAGUUUACGGCAGCGGGAAGUGGAAGCUCAGAGAGAAGAGAAGAAUGAUCCCAGCCCUCGACUGUGACAGAAAGACACUUGAUCAAGCCUCCUCCCUCCAAGGAUGAGAUAGUUCUGAGCUGUGUUCCACACCGUCUCCCAGAGCUCCCCAGUGGGGAUGGGGCCUCGUUACCUGGUCACCACUGAGGGUUGAUGAUGUUUCUUACCAUCCCUGCAGCAUCGCUUGACCAUUCUCUUAGUGGGAUUCCCCAGAUUGCCUCCCAAUACUUCCCUUACCCUUGAAUUCUCAUCUCAGGAGCUUCUUCUGAAGAAACUCAAAUGUGGACUCAUCCGUACUGUGGACAAAGAGAGUUACCUGUCAUUUCAGUCAACAAAGUAAAAUGUUGAGGCCGUAAAGUCAUCAGCCAUUGCAACUGUCCCCCACCCCGUCCCUCAGUGGUGUACCUUGAGGGGAUUCAGGGUGGAAAAAAACAGGAUGCUGGCGCUAGAUAGUUAAGGUGCAUAUCAAAAGAAUAAUUUAAUUUAGUCCAGACACUUGCAUCUUCUCAUACAUAGAAAAGUGUCAAUUCAUUAACUUAAGAUGUCUGUUUUUUCUUUAAUUAGAUUACUAUCUUUGCUGUUUGACCACCUGAGUUUUUUUUUUUCUUUUUCUUUUGGAAGAAACUCCUAUAUAUCCUGGCUCCUCCCUUACCUCUUCAGAGCAGCCCCUCCAAGAGGCUGUAUCUUGGGCUACAGUGCUCAGUAAGUCUGCCAAGCAAAAUAUUAAUUUUCAACUUCUAGGUUGUGCAUUUUUAUUCAGUUGACAGCAUGAUGAACAAGGACUCACAGCCUGGGGAGGAAAACAGAUCAUCUCAGAGGCCCUGCUGUGUCUGCAGUCAGGGGCCUGGGGGUGGGGUCCCUACGCACAUGGAGCCUGUGUGUGAGACACGUGAAUGAGGGCACACAUCCUCGUGUACACGUGGGUGGCUGUCCAUGUCUCUGGGCAAGCUCAUGAGCUAAAAAUAGGGAAGGAAAAUGUAAGCAGCUUCUUAUGUAAAUAUUGGGCAACUGAAUAAUUUUCUUUUGUUUCUAGUCAUUUCAGUCUCUGAAACUUUGCUGCUCUUUCCCUUGGAUUGAGGGUGGGAGUGGAGGUGGGGGAAAAUGAGGUUAUUUUGGUCCUGGGGAAUUCAGGGUCCCUCACUCAAUGCAUGUAUCCCCUUUCUCUCCCACCCACUUGAGCCUCCAAAGGAAAGAUCUACUGAAGAGACGAGGUUCCUGUUACCUUGGCAAAGGAUGAUGCCAAGGGGAUGCCUCUGCUCGUCUGGAUAGCAGACAAUCCACAGAGAGACACAGGCUCAGGCAGUUGCUGCCCCUGGCCGUUCCACCCUGUUAUCCCAGCUCCAGAGAA